rnacentral:lncRNA from 1 species
AUGAAACUAAAAUAGAGCUAAAAUUGAGCUGACUUCCUGCAUAAGUGAGAAAUUCAUUUUUGAAAUAAAAUCACGGUUGCUAUUGUACAACAGAGCUCUCAUUUGACUUGUGAGUAUGGAGGAUUUUAUCCUUAGUAAGCACAGAGUGCCAGCGAAUUUACACUGAUGCUUCAAUUAAAUCUGAAUUCUGAAGAUAAAGGAAAUAAGGACCCUGUGAAAACUAAGAUCGUCGCCCUCCUUUUUAUAGCUUUUCUAAGGAACAAGAGUGUAUGUCUUGAUGCACGCUGCAGCUAAACUUCUUAAUGUACUCUGAGGUCGGUCACCUGAGAGAGGAGCAAGGCUUUUGAACGGGGUGGUCGCACGUGUUCUGUGCGAGGCAGCAGCUGGAUAGGAGGGAACGAUGCUGUGUGGAUGCUGAUGGGGGGAAGCUGGAGUGCGAGAUUGUACCUUGUUAGGCAGAAGAGAAUAAAAGGGCCAGGAAUGUUCUGGUGCUACCAUCCACUUACUCCGGGGAUCUCUUCAAUUUGGUAACUGCAUUGCAAGAGGCUUGGCUCGUUCUUCUGGUGUCUCCAGCGAAGGUCCUCGUGAGCCGCUCCGGCAGAGACAGGGACUGCUCAGCUGCUGUGCCGUGGCGGAUCCUGCAACCGGCGGUGCAGCCGUGGCCUCUAGCCUGGGCACGCUUCUGCCGUGAGCCAGGCCAUGGACUUUGGACAAGGGAAAAACUAAAGAGUGUUUCAGUGACAUGGAGAGAAGAAGGAGAAAAAGGUCCUGCGCGUGGGCUCAGACAGCCUGGAAGCGCCGGCAGCAGUCAGCAGGAGGAGAGUGUCGCCGGGAUGUGCCGCUGCAAGGCCGAGAUAACCCAGCUCCUCGUCUUGCCCUUGGCUGCUAGGGUCUGCGUGCAGGCGGAGCUCUCCUGGCGCGGGGCGCUGCACAACGCCAUGCGCAGCCGUACCCCGAUGGCCGAGCGGAGAAAUCUGCGCUGCCGUGCUGUACGCUCGGUACGAGACACGUUUCUGGAUCAGUAAUCUAUCAUAAUUUUGUUGGACAGAAGGGAGUAGCACCAGGUUUCUUUCUUCUGGAGGAGAGAGAUUUUGAUUAAUUUUUCCCCUUCUCUUCAGGGUUAGCACUUUGCAUUAUAUAUGUUUCAAGGCAGGGAAAUUGCUUGCUUGACAGCUGUGGAUAAAACAUGAAACUUUAGAUAAUGUUUUAAAUUCACCAGGGACAAACCAGCUUCAAUGUAAUUGAUAAAUUAAACCGAAUUCAAAUAUCA